GCCUAUCCUCAUAUAUCGGCAAUCGGCUUCUCGAAUCACAAUAUUAAAACUGGAAACCCUCGUUGUGUACUCGGCGACUUUACCGUCACUGACAGCUCUAUCGCGAAAUCAAUCGGAGGUUAGUUCUUCUCCUUUCCGUUUGAAUCAUUCAUUUUUUAUCUUAUUUGAUUUGUCUGUUUGCUAACACAAUUAGGUGAAAGUUAUGAUUUUUAUUGCUUCCUAGAUGUCGAAACAAAGAUAAAGAUUUAAAAUUCAAAGUUUUUGUCUUUACAUAUUGGCUUUAAUCGAGUCUCUGAAACGAUUACAAAGUCAUUCUCUUUAAUAGAGUUUGAACCUGAAUUCCACAUCCAAGGUUUUGAAUGAUUAAGGAGAGAAAGAUUCAAAACAAAGUCAUCACUCAUCAGUUAUGCAUCACCGGAUCUUGUUCUAUGUUUUUCUUUUUCGAAUAAUCGGAUUUAUGUGAUUUUGGAUUGGAAUCUACUCUUAACACUUAAGAGUUAAGUAGUCAUCUUUGUUAUUUUGGAUUGGAUUUAGUAUUUAAAUGUCAUGUUUGAUGUUC